GUGGGGAAUUUUGGACAAUGGGGGCAACCCUGAUCCAGCAAUGCCGCGUGCAGGAAGAAGGCCUUCGGGUUGUAAACUGCUUUUGUACGGAACGAAACGGUCCUGGUUAAUACCUGGGGCUAAUGACGGUACCGUAAGAAUAAGCACCGGCUAACUACGUGCCAGCAGCCGCGGUAAUACGUAGGGUGCGAGCGUUAAUCGGAAUUACUGGGCGUAAAGCGUGCGCAGGCGGUGCUGUAAGACAGGCGUGAAAUCCCCGGGCUCAACCUGGGAAUUGCGCUUGUGACUGCAGUGCUGGAGUACGGCAGAGGGGGAUGGAAUUCCGCGUGUAGCAGUGAAAUGCGUAGAUAUGCGGAGGAACACCGAUGGCGAAGGCAGUCCCCUGGGCCUGUACUGACGCUCAUGCACGAAAGCGUGGGGAGCAAACAGGAUUAGAAACCCCAGUAGUCC
rnacentral:rRNA from 1 species